UCCUUUUAUUACUUAAAACCUGCUUUAAAAAACAUUUUAACCCUUUUUUUAAAAAAAAAAAACCUAAAACAUUUCUAUCAUUUUCCUUCCUCAGCCGAAAGGGCAAAAACCCAGGCCCUCUUCUGCCACCUCGCGCACUGCUGUAGACGGCCAUCGGAAGGCCGAAAUUUUCCCACUUUUGCUAGCGAAUCAAAAGGUACGACUCCUCUCCCUUCUACGAUAUAUUAUUUUGUAUUUCGUGGACUCAAAUAAAAAUAAAAAUAAAAAUAACAAAAUAAAAUAAUGAUGAACCACCUUGAAGUAUUCUUUUAACUGCUCUUGGAUUCUUUGUGUAUUUUAUAUUCUAAAAAAAAAAAAUCCCCUAACAAAUGAAAAUUCGUAGCCUUUUAUAGCCAACUUUACAAUGGUUUCUUUGCUUCUACUAGUUGCAGGUAUGGUGAACGUGGGGCGUGGGUCGUGCUACACGCGAGUUGGCCGGACGUGCGAGGUGGAGAGCGUGGUGGUUGCAUUUGUGCGGCGCAUGGAGACAUAGGGUUUCCCAAAAACCCCAAAACUUUGGGCCUAUCAGGCCUUUAUUUUUUUGGACCCAAGUCUUUAUUUUUAUGAAUUGGGCCUGCUGUAGUUUAGGUUUGGACUGUUGUCUUUUGUCGAUUGUAUGUAUAUGGGCCCGAGCUAAAAUUAGGUCUUACAAUCUACAUUAACAGAUUAAUAAUUAAAAUUAAAUUAGAAACUAUAUAUAAAACUUAAAAUCCACACAAUCUACUAUUAUAAUAUUUAUAUUUUGAAAUAUUGUUUAUUAAAUUCAGUCUAAUAUCAAUUACUGUAUUUUUAAAAUUAAAUGUAUAUAUUAUGUUUUAAUUUCUUAACCAUUUUAUUAACAAAAUGUUACAAAAUCUAUUAA
rnacentral:lncRNA from 1 species